GCUUAUGGGGGCAUGGCCUGACUGCAUCAUUGAUUCCCUCCCCUCACAGCAAAAUGCCAUGAAUUGUGCACCAAGGAAGAAGUUAUCUUUCAUAAAGACUCCUGGGAUAGCAUUGCUAUAGUCUCAUCCUCGGGAACAGCAGUAGAACACUGAAUAUAUAGUACAAGAAAAUGUGUCCUUAACUCACCUUACUGUGUAGCAUAGUGGAAACGGCAGGUGACCAGCUCUCCUUCACGGAUGGAAGGGCUGCCCUCAUCUUAUUGUCUGCUGAAUAAAAGUAAGACCACUUGUCUACCAUGGUUUCAAAUAAUAAGUACUUUACAAGGAUGGUGGAAAAUGCACACAAGACUCAAGAAAUACAUGCAACAGUCCCACAAAUGGAUGAAGGAGACAGAAUAUGUACUGUACACCAGUAAUGGAGCACAUACACUGCCCCACGGAUGUGCUAUGGAGAACUGCAAUUAGAAUGGGUCUGCCAUUUACGAUAAGAGUAACGGAAACAUUGUUAUAAAGUUCUUGCUGCUCUGUUGGGGAAAACAGAGACUGAAGAUACAGUAUAGAUGUGUCCUUAUCCACUGUGGCUUCAGUUGUGCUAAACAGCUCCUCUUGGCAUAUCAGGUCCUGCGUGACUCAGUCACACUGCGUAGCUUUUUCGCCCAAAAUGUGCAUCUUAUUCACUCAAAAUAAAUGCGUUUUGCGACAGGUAACCACUAAUUACCCUUUCCCAUCUCACUCUUUUACCACACUAACAAUAAUUACUAUUUUACACAUGAAGACUUGUAAUAUGUAAAUAGCACUGACCAAUCAGUGAACUUAAAACAUGUACGACCCUGUAUCACAAUUCUCCAUCCAAAAUAAUAAUGAGAGGAGUCAGGUAAUAGGGGGUAUAACAUGAUCAGUAAGGGAUA